GUCGAACGGUAACAGGUUAAGCUGACGAGUGGCGAACGGGUGAGUAAUAUAUCGGAACGUGCCCAGUCGUGGGGGAUAACUGCUCGAAAGAGCAGCUAAUACCGCAUACGACCUGAGGGUGAAAGCGGGGGAUCGCAAGACCUCGCGCGAUUGGAGCGGCCGAUAUCAGAUUAGGUAGUUGGUGGGGUAAAGGCCCACCAAGCCAACGAUCUGUAGCUGGUCUGAGAGGACGACCAGCCACACUGGGACUGAGACACGGCCCAGACUCCUACGGGAGGCAGCAGUGGGGAAUUUUGGACAAUGGGCGCAAGCCUGAUCCAGCCAUGCCGCGUGCGGGAAGAAGGCCUUCGGGUUGUAAACCGCUUUUGUCAGGGAAGAAAAGGUUCUGGUUAAUACCUGGGACUCAUGACGGUACCUGAAGAAUAAGCACCGGCUAACUACGUGCCAGCAGCCGCGGUAAUACGUAGGGUGCAAGCGUUAAUCGGAAUUACUGGGCGUAAAGCGUGCGCAGGCGGUUAUGCAAGACAGAGGUGAAAUCCCCGGGCUCAACCUGGGAACUGCCUUUGUGACUGCAUGGCUAGAGUACGGUAGAGGGGGAUGGAAUUCCGCGUGUAGCAGUGAAAUGCGUAGAUAUGCGGAGGAACACUGAUGGCGAAGGCAAUCCCCUGGACCUGUACUGACGCUCAUGCACGAAAGCGUG
rnacentral:rRNA from 1 species